GACGAACGCUGGCGGCGUGCUUAACACAUGCAAGUCGAACGGAGUGGCGAACGGGUUAGUAACACGUUGGUGACCUGCCCUGCACUUCGGGAUAAGCCUGGGAAACUGGGUCUAAUACCGGUUAGUGUGGGAUGGGCCCGCGGCGUAUCAGCUUGUUGGUGGGGUAAGGGCCUACCAAGGCGGCGACGGGUAGCCGGCCUGAGAGGGUGGACGGCCACACUGGGACUGCGGGACGGCCCAGACUCCUACGGGAGGCAGCAGUGGGGAAUAUGGCACAAUGGGCGGAAGCGUGAUGCAGCGACGCCGGGUGGGGGAUGACGGCCUUCGGGUUGUAAACUACUUUCACCAUAGACGCGGUAGAUGGAGAAGAAGCACCGGCUAACUACGUGCCAGCAGCCGCGGUAAUUC
rnacentral:rRNA from 1 species